UACGGGGGGGGUAAGCGUUGUUCGGAAUUACUGGGCGUAAAGGGCUCGUAGGCGGCCAACUAAGUCAGACGUGAAAUCCCUCAGCUUAACUGGGGAACUGCGUCUGAUACUGGAUGGCUUGGAUUCGGGAGAGGAAUGCGGAAUUCCAGGUGUAGCGGUGAAAUGCGUAGAUAUCAGGAAGAACACCCGUGGCUAAGGCGGCUCUCUAGUACGGUACUGACGCUGAGACGCGAAAGCGUGGGGAGCAAACAGG
rnacentral:rRNA from 1 species